AUCAAAUCUGAGCUGGACAUCUACGUCAAUUGUGUUUAAAUGACAUCGUUCCAGUCUCCACUCUCGAGGUGCAGUUCCAGGGAAGGAAGCUCUUGAGAGGAGAGUGCAGCAUCCCAACACAAGACACUGAGGAAAAGAUGAAGAUGAUCGGGAGACUGCACUGUUGACAAUCAUCCUUCUGCCUUAAGCACCUACAUACCUGUAUGCUCCAGAUUCAGAUUGCUUCAGUCUUUCUCUCUCUCUUUCUCUAUCAACCCCAACCGGUCAAGGCAGAUGGCCGCCCACCUAGAGCCUGGUUCUGCCUGAGGUUUCUUCCCGUUACGGAGUCGCCAAGUGCUUGCUCAUGGGGGGAAUGUUGGGUCUCUUUAAAUUAAAGAGUACAGUCAUAACUUAUGUCCAUCCAUCCAUCUUCUUCCGCUUAUCCGGGGUCGGGUCGCGGGGGCAGCAGCCUAAGCAGGGAAGCCCAGACUUCCCUCUCCCCAGCCACUUCGUCCAGCUCUUCCCGGGGGAUCCCGAGGUGUUCCCACGCCAGCCGAGAGACAUAGUCUCUCCAGCGUGUCCUGGGUCUUCCCCGGGGUCUCCUACCGGUGGGACAUGCCCUGAACGCCUCACCAGGGAGGCGUCCGGGAGGCAUCCUGAUUAGAUGCCCGAACCACCUCAUCUGGAACUUCUUAUGUGAUUACAUAAAAUUGUC